GAGGAUGUAGCUCAGUGGUAAAGUGCUUUCCUCACAUGUGUGAGGCACUGGGUUCAAUCCCCAGCACUACA
rnacentral:tRNA from 1 species